CUGCCCGCGCCCCUCCUCGCCCUCGCAGUGCAUGCCGGUCUUGUGCUUGGAGUCGCCAUUUUGCCGCUAGAGAUGCUGUCUGAAGACCAGUGCUCUCUUCCUUCAGCGGCCUAGGCUGCAUCCGGGCCUGAGCUGGGGUCUGGGCCAGGGCAUGAAAGAUCUCAAAUGUUCUGACCUGGACCUGGAAUGCAGCUCCCCAAGCAGCAGACAUGUAGUUCUUGAACAGACUGCCCGGAUCAUGGUCUGAGCCCAGAGGCUCCUGCAAAAGGACCUGCAAUGCAUGGAAAAAUCCCAUGAGACAAGUGCCAGAGAAUGGGACAGAGUGGACUGACAUUUGAGGAAAAUAUCAGUGGUAUUUUGACAAGAAUGCUUUGAAAGAGCUGGUUGAUCUGGGUAGCUUGUACAUUAUCACAACAUGAAUUCUUCCCAUCUGCCAUCAUGGAACAGGACCAUGGUUUCAAGAAGUUGGAGUGUCUUACCUAAGAGAAAUUUGAAAAAAGGGACAAUUCAGCAGCCAAGAAUUUCUCAAAUGCCCUUGUCGUUUUAAAAAAAGUGACAUAAUGUUGAGCGCGUCAUGUCCAUGUCUCUUUACAAAAGAUUUUACCUCCUAUUUCAUAGGAAUUACUGUUUCUUUGAAAGGUCAACCUGCACUGAAAUAAAGAUAAUCCCUCCUUUCCUCAUUCUGCUUGAAACCACAUCCUUUGUUAGUUA